rnacentral:rRNA from 1 species
UACGGGGGGGGCUAGCGUUGUUCGGAAUUACUGGGCGUAAAGGGCGCGUAGGCGGCCUACUAAGUCGGACGUGAAAUCCCUCGGCUCAACCGGGGAACUGCGUCCGAUACUGGUGGGCUCGAAUCCGGGAGAGGGAUGUGGAAUUCCAGGUGUAGCGGUGAAAUGCGUAGAUAUCUGGAGGAACACCCGUGGCGAAGGCGGCUCUCUGGAACGCAACUGACGCUGAGACGCGAAAAGCGUGGGGAGCAAACAGG